GAUGAAGAACGUAGCGAAAUGCGAUAAGUAAUGUGAAUUGCAGAAUUCAGUGAAUCAUCGAAUCUUUGAACGCACAUUGCGCCCGCCAGCAUUCUGGCGGGCAUGCCUGUUCGAGCGUCAUUUCAACCCUCGAGCCCCCCCGGGGGCCUCGGUGUUGGGGGACGGCACACCAGCCGCCCCCGAAAUGCAGUGGCGACCCCGCCGCAGCCUCCCCUGCGUAGUAGCACACACCUCGCACCGGAGCGCGGAGGCGGUCACGCCGUAAAACGCCCAACUUUCUUAGAGUUGACCUCGGAUCAGGUAGGAAUACCCGCUGAACUUAAGCAUAUCAAUAAGUGGAGGA
rnacentral:misc_RNA from 1 species